rnacentral:tRNA from 2 species
GGAGAGGUGGCAGAGUGGUCGAUUGCGGCGGUCUUGAAAACCGCUGAGCCGCAAGGUUCCGGGGGUUCGAAUCCCUCCCUCUCCGCCA